rnacentral:lncRNA from 1 species
UAUCUGUCAAUUAACACAUUGAUUAAUCGAAGAAGAAUACAAAAUUAAGUUUUGAUCAUUCUUCCAAGAUGUUUGCUGACACAUUUGGCAAGCGAAAUGUACUGAAACUUACAAAAACUAUUGCAAAUACAUCAGCUUAACAAAAUACAAAAUAUCUGUCACUUAACACAUUCAUACAAAAUAACUAUCCACAAAAAUGUAUCCAUUUGGAUCUGUUUUAGAUCCCAAAAUCAUGACUAGCCACGCUCUCGUGUGUGCCGACUUGAGGAAGGCUGUGAUGAGGGGUUGUUUGAACUUCCUGCAAAAAAUUAAAUAACAAUAAUGCGUCAAACGGUCCACAUAUGAAAUCAACUUAAUAUGCGAAGGCAUCAACAAACGGAGCAAGUUUGUACCUGAUUUCAGAGCAAAACUGUGAUUGCGUGCUUGCAAAUGAUUUCUCUAAACUCAAAUAAAUGACAACUGCACUGGAAUUCACAAUCCUUCCUACGAAACGAGACUUUAAAUACUUUCGGGAUUAUACAUUCAUUCAAGACAAUGUCCUCACGCACUUCGUAAAUAGUAUGUAAAUACGAGUCAUGCGUAGAUAGGACUUCACAAUAUACCUUUCCGGUGAACUGUUCCUGAAACUCCCUGAACUUCGCGAUUGUGUAGACCGACUGUAGCCGCUUCUCCAUUGCAUACCUUGUCGCACACGGAACCAUUUGUGAAAAUGAUUUGAAAUCCGCUUGAAAUUCCUUCUCCACUUUACUUUUCAAUGCACGCUCGUACUGCUCGACAAACUGCUUAAGAGAUGUUUUGGAAUGAACAUAACCAUCAAAAAAUGGAUUAAUGCUCUCACUUCAUUGAGUUGUCGACAUGUCGGCCCAAAAUGAUGUCCUCAAAAAACAUGGUAUCCAUCGUCAUCUCUCACUGUACAAUCUAGUUAACCAACCAUUUUCUAGUAACUCAUACUGUUCGAGCAUCCUACUCCAACCUUGCUCGAACUCCUCACAUUCUUGUACGUUGUAUACCAACCCAUGCAUAGUAGAAAGAAUUGAAACUUUGUGUUUGUGGUUGCGAAAUUUCUCUGGUAAUUUUUUCAGAAUAUGCCACAAACACCAUCUGUGCCUUGUAUUCGGAAAGAUAAUUUCAAUUGCAUUUUGCAUAGCUCGAUCUUGAUCUGCAAUAAUUCCACUUGGAGCUAUACCAUGCAUACAUUCCAUCCAUGUCCUAAAAAGUCACAUGAAGGUUGUUGUAUCUUCAUUCGAAACCAAUCCACAUCUAAGGAGAGCUGACUGCCCAUGAUUGGUCACCCCAACAAACGGGGCAAAUGGCAUAUCAUACUUGUUAGUCAAAUAUGUGGAAUCAAAUGUGACUACAUCCCCAAACACCUUACACGCUUCUCUGCACCUAUUAUCAGCCCAAAAAAUGUUCUUCAAACGAUCCUCAUCAUCCAAUUCUAUACUAAAAUAGAAACGAGGACUUUUUGUUUGCAUCUUCGAGAAAUAAGUUUGUAUAGCAAUAGCAUCUCCUUCACUGAGUCGUAAUCGACGAACCUUGUCAAUGAAAUUUCUGCAGUCUUUCUCGACACAUGUUAUAUUGCUAUAACCACCAGCCUCAACUACUGUUGAGUUAAAACUCUUGUGCAACGGUAUACCAACAAUAUCAUUUAUUUCGAGCUGUCGUUUCACAUGUGCGCUAAUCUCGCGAUUGCAACGAUAUAGCCUUGAUUUUGAUGGGCUUGUUCUGUGAUUGUGCUCUAAGUGGACGGUGUUAAUACGCCACUUUCCAUUUAGUUUGGAACAUACUGUCAGUCUCGCUUUACACCCAGUUUGGAUGGUUGGUUGAGGCUUAAGACAAGAAUUAAUACCACUCAUUCGACGGCCUUCUCGAUUGCACGUGAAAGUUACAUAUCGGACAACCCCGUUAUCACCCUUCUUCGAAUUUCUUUUUCUAACGGGGAAACCGAUUUGGAAUGCAUAGUUCUUUUAAAAUUCGAAUACCUCAUUUUCAUCGUUAAAUUUCAUUCCAACAUGAGGCACAAUAAUCUUAGUCUCUACCUCUAAGUUGUUAUCCUUCGGACUAUCGUCUUCGAAAUCUAGAAUUUCUAGAUAUCCUGCAUUUAAGAACAAGCAUAAAAAAAAUAAAUCAUGUAUAACCAAUUAGAAGUGGAAGCCAAAACAUAUUCAAACCUAGAAAAAUAAAUGAGGAGAAGAAUGAAUUCAAGUUUAGGAUAAAAUAAGCAUCUAAAUAAACUUGGACUUGUGCUACAGUGUUAUCAUUGAUAAAUCACCUAAAUAAUCUGAAAUUGAGUAUCUAAAUUGCUAAUCUUUACCAAGACAUACAGACUUCCAACAUGACAACCCGCAAAAUGACAAAAUAUAUGUCUACCAUUCCAAAAUAGACAUGAAGUGUACCCAAGUUCAAGCAACAUAGCUUACAAAAUAAGAGAAAAAUGGAAGAGUUUUGCACGAGAAAAGAGCAUCUCCAAUGACCUCAAGAUAUAUGAAAGAAACUUGAACUAAUAGCACACAAAACAGCCUCAACCAGAAUUUAUGCAGGGAAUUAGCUACAAAGUGAGUUCUACUUUCA